AGAAAAUUGUUUGCUGUCAUCAAAGUAACGGGACUUCCCUGGUCACUCAGUGGCAAAGAAUCUGCCUGCAGUGCAGGAGAUCCAGUUAGGUACAGGGCUUGAUCCCUCAGUCAGGAAGACCCUGGAGGGGGUCAUGGCAACCCACUCCAGUAUUCUUGCUUGGAGAAUCCCAUGGACAGAGGAGCCUGGUGGGCAGCAGUCCAUGGGGUCGCAAAGAGUUGGACACGACUGAAGGGACUGAGCGCGAGCACGCAGUGUCAGAUCCCGUUAGACCACCACGUUUGUUUUUCUCAAGUUUGUUUUUUCCCCUGAGAAGACCUCUUCACAAGCACGGGUGCCAGACAGCACUCCUUUUUGAUUCCACAUAGAAGUGAUAUCUAUUUCUGCCUUAUUGACUGUGCCAAAGCCCUUGACUCUGUGGAUCACAACAAACUGUGGGAAAUUCUUAAAGAGAUGGGAAUACCAGACCACCUGAUUUGCCUCCUGAGAAAUCUGUAUGCAGGUCGAGAAGGAACAGUUAGAACAGGACAUGAAACAAUGGACUGGUUCCAAAAUGGGAAAGGAGUACGUCAAGGCUGUAUAUUGUCACCCUGCUUAUUUAACUUAUAUGCAGAGUACAUCAUGAGAAAUGCUGGACUGGAUGAAGCACAAGCUGGAAUCAAGAUGGCUGGGAGAAAUAUCAAUAACCUCAGA
ensembl:lncRNA